CACCCCCGAUGCCGAAACCCACCGCCGGCGCCCGCGGCCACUUUAGACCACUGCCGGCGGAGCCCCCCACCACUGCAGCUCCUCCGCCGCCCACAAGUCGACACCCCAUCCACCCUCCACCGGACAGCAAGCCCCUGCGGCCCCCAACCAUCCCGCCGCCGACCCGCAACCAUCCCACUGCCGACGGCCGCCCUCCAACCAAAUCACCGACGUCGUCGCCCCCCAUCACGAGCAACGCCGUCGAGCACCCAUUUGACAGGGAGCACCACCGUCGUCGCCGAGCAACUCCACCGGAAGCCACCAUCCUCCGGGAACGCCUUCCUCGCCACUAACCUACUCGCGCGCUUCCUCCUCGAGCGGGCCUCCCCGCAAGCGUCACCGAGCACCAAGCCACGGGCCUGCCCCCUCCACACGCCCCUGAAGCAGCAAACCCUCGGCCCUCCUCUCCAUCGAGCAGCUCUGCAUCCUCAACAUCUUUUCCCUGGACAUACCUGCCUCCUAUACAUCGUGUCGGAUUGCGACUCCGUCGACGUGCUCUACACCCAGCAGCACUACACCAAGACGCCCGAGGAGGCCGCCGCCAUCACCAUCAAAUCAGUGCAACGCCUAGCAGCAGUUAGGCAAUUAGUGCGAGUCGAGAUUAGCGGUAGCCAUCGAGUUGUUAGGGCGUCCGGUCCGGUGUAA
rnacentral:rRNA from 1 species